GGGGACCUCCGGGGCCCUAUACCCCGCUCCCUUCGGGGGGCUCUAACAGACAGGCGGGGCAACCCGCCGCAAAGCAACGGAAGACAGAAA
rfam:Maritimibacter sp. HL-12 genome assembly, contig: B139DRAFT_scaffold00001.1